rnacentral:rRNA from 1 species
AUUGAACGCUGGCGGCAGGCCUAACACAUGCAAGUCGAACGAGUGGCGGACGGGUGAGUAAUGUCUGGGAAACUGCCUGAUGGAGGGGGAUAACUAAUGGAAACGGUAGCUAAUACCGCAUACCAUCAGAUGUGCCCAGAUGGGAUUAGCUUGGUGGUGGGGUAACGGCUCACCAAGGCGACGAUCCCUAGCUGGUCUGAGAGGAUGACCAGCCAUACUGGAACGGAGACACGGCCCAGACUCCUACGGGGGGCGGCGUUGGGGAAUAUUGCACAAUGGGCGCAAGCCUGAUGCAGCCAUGCCGCGUGUAUGAAGAAGGCCUUCGGGUUUUAAAGUACUUUCAUCGGGGAGGCGGUACCCGCAGAAGAAGCACCGGCUAACUCCGUGCCAGCAGCCGCGGUAAUAC